rnacentral:rRNA from 1 species
GAUCAUGGCUCCGGAUGAACGCUAGCUACAGGCUUAACACAUGCAAGUAGAGGGGCAGCAUGGUCUUAGCUUGCUAAGGCCGAUGGCGACCGGCGCACGGGUGAGUAACACGUAUCCAACCUGCCGUCUACUCUUGGACAGCCUUCUGAAAGGAAGAUUAAUACAAGAUGGCAUCAUGAGUUCACAUGUUCACAUGAUUAAAGGUAUUCCGGUAGACGAUGGGGA